CAAAUCAAAACCACUCCUUUCAACCACCACAUUCCCCGCCGACAGCCACAACCACCCAUUUCUUUGAAUUUUUCUGCUUCUAGUUACAGCUGCACAAGCAUUCUUUCUUUUAAACUGAUUUAGCAGUAUUCACACAUGUAAAGUCAUGCUUUUGGCAUUCUCUAUGAUUCCAAGAAUUCACAGAUGAAACCAGUUUCUAAAGUUUGGUUCUGCUGCUGCUGAGCCACGUUGCCCCACCCGUACCCAUCCCAUUGGAAAAUUUUGUUGCUUUAAGCUAAAUUAAUCAUAGAAGGGUACUUGUUUUAGCUAAAGUUCAUUGACUUUGCUCCGGGUUCCGUUGGUAAUGGGGAUUGAAGACUAAUUUUGAGAGAAUUUGUUGGAUUGGCUUGGCUAAGAUCAUUUUGGACAACUCUCGAGAAAAUACCACUAUUGGGAGCCGGUGAUGAGCAAAAAUGAUGAUCAAUGAAAUGGAGCAUGAAUAAGCAAGUAUUGAAUAAGAUUAAAGUGGAAAAUAGGCUUGGAAAACAAAGUGAAGAGAAGCAAAGUAGUGGCAUUGGCACAACGGCGCAGAAAAAGCGAUGAAUUCAAGCAGAAACUUAGGCGCCACGGCGCCAUAACUGGGCGCCAUGGCGCCCAAAUGAGGACAAGAAGGAAGCAGAAACUUAGGCACCGUGGCGCCAUGGUGCCCAACGCAGACUCUGGCGCCACGACGCCAUGGAGCCAUGCUUGGACGUCGUGGCGCCAAAUCCCAAAAUGUUAAAUUCCAAAUUUUUAAUUAUCUUUUCGGCCCAAAAAAAUCAUACCCUAACCCUUGAAGACUCUUAGAAAAUAUAAAUACCAAGAUGAAGAACAAGAAAAGGGGGUUUGACGGCGGAAGAGGCAAGAAAAAGAGAGGCACCAAUAGAGAGAAGAUCGACCCGAUUUUGGAGAAGAAGAAGGGAGAAAACUGAGAAAUCAAGCAAUAAGAUUGAGAAAUAGAGCAGCAACUUGAGUUUUUUCUAUCUUUCUCUUAUACAUGCACUCUAGUUUGUAUUUAAUUGUGUUUUUCCUCUCAAUCAUUGACUAAACUAUUAAAUCUAGGGUUUGAUGUAACCUAUUUGAGACAUGAUUUAAUUUCUUUAUAGUAUUUUCAUUUAAUUUUCCA